GACGGGACUGGAGCUGGGCUCCCGCCGGGCUGCAACCCCGGUAGCGCACGAUCGCGAAAGCGAGAGCAGGCGGGUUCGAUUCCCGUGUCCCGUCUCCA
rnacentral:tRNA from 1 species